rnacentral:rRNA from 1 species
GAUGAACGCUAGCGGCAGGCUUAACACAUGCAAGUCGAGGGGUAGAGGAAGCUUGCUUCCUUGAGACCGGCGCACGGGUGCGUAACGCGUAUGCAAUCUACCUUGUACAGGGGGAUAGCCCAGAGAAAUUUGGAUUAAUACCCCAUAGUAUUAUUGACUGGCAUCAUUUGAUUAUUAAAGUUCCAACGGUACAAGAUGAGCAUGCGUCCUAUUAGCUAGUUGGUGUGGUAACGGCACACCAAGGCGACGAUGGGUAGGGGUCCUGAGAGGGAGAUCCCCCACACUGGUACUGAGACACGGACCAGACUCCUACGGGAGGCAGCAGUGAGGAAUAUUGGUCAAUGGGCGCAAGCCUGAACCAGCCAUGCCGCGUGCAGGAUGACGGUCCUAUGGAUUGUAAACUGCUUUUGUACAGGAAGAAACACUCCCUCGUGAGGGAGCUUGACGGUACUGUAAGAAUAAGGAUCGGCUAACUCCGUGCCAGCCGCCGCAGUAAGAC